rnacentral:rRNA from 1 species
AAUGAACGUUGGCGGCGUGGAUUAGGCAUGCAAGUCGUGCGAGAACCGUAGCAAUACGGGGACAGCGGCGAAAGGGAGAGUAACGCGUGGAUACCUACCCAGGGGACCGGGAUAGCCGCGGGAAACUGCGGGUAAUACCGGAUGAUGUCUCCGGACCAAAGGUGUAAUUCCGCCCUUGGAGGGGUCCGCGUCCUAUUAGCUAGUUGGAGAGGUAACGGCUCACCAAGGCAAAGAUGGGUAUGGGGUGUGAGAGCAUGCCCCCACUCACUGGGACUGAGACACUGCCCAGACACCUACGGGUGGCUGCAGUCGAGGAUCUUCGGCAAUGGGCGCAAGCCUGACCGAGCGACGCCGCGUGCGGGAUGAAGGCCUUCGGGUUGUAAACCGCUGUCAGUGGGGAGGAAAUGCCGGUGGGUUCACCCAUCGGUUUGACCUAUCCGCAGAGGAAGGACGGGCUAAGUUCGUGCCAGCAGCCGCCGUAACAC